rnacentral:rRNA from 1 species
GCCAGACUCCUACGGGAGGCAGCAGUGGGGGAUAUUGCACAAUGGGGGAAACCCUGAUGCAGCGACGCCGCGUGAGUGAAGAAGUAUUUCGGUAUGUAAAGCUCUAUCAGCAGGGAAGAAAAAAGACGGUACCUGACUAAGAAGCCCCGGCUAACUACGUGCCAGCAGCCGCGGUAAUACGUAGGGGGCAAGCGUUAUCCGGAUUUACUGGGUGUAAAGGGAGCGUAGACGGCAAUACAAGUCGGAAGUGAAAUACCCGGGCUUAACCUGGGAACUGCUUUGGAAACUGUAUGGCUGGAGUGCUGGAGAGGUAAGCGGAAUUCCUAGUGUAGCGGUGAAAUGCGUAGAUAUUAGGAGGAACACCAGUGGCGAAGGCGGCUUACUGGACAGUAACUGACGUUGAGGCUCGAAAGCGUGGGGAGCAAACAGGAUUAGAUACCCUAGUAC